rnacentral:rRNA from 1 species
UGGGGAAUUUUGGACAAUGGGCGCAAGCCUGAUCCAGCCAUGCCGCGUGCAGGAUGAAGGCCUUCGGGUUGUAAACUGCUUUUGUACGGAACGAAAAGGUGCCUUCUAAUAAAGGGCGCUCAUGACGGUACCGUAAGAAUAAGCACCGGCUAACUACGUGCCAGCAGCCGCGGUAAUACGUAGGGUGCGAGCGUUAAUCGGAAUUACUGGGCGUAAAGCGUGCGCAGGCGGUUUUGUAAGACAGAGGUGAAAUCCCCGGGCUCAACCUGGUAACUGCCUUUGUGACUGCAAGGCUGGAGUGCGGCAGAGGGGGAUGGAAUUCCGCGUGUAGCAGUGAAAUGCGUAGAUAUGCGGAGGAACACCGAUGGCGAAGGCAAUCCCCUGGGCCUGCACUGACGCUCAUGCACGAAAGCGUGGGGAGCAAACA